rnacentral:rRNA from 1 species
UACAGAGGUCUCGAGCGUUAUGCGGAAUCACUGGGCUUAAAGCGUGUGUAGGCGGAUUGGUAAGUACUUUGUGAAAUCCCACGGCUUAACCGUGGAACUGCUUGGUAUACUGCCAGUCUUGAGCCAGCUAGGGGCUACCGGAACAAAUGGUGGAGCGGUGAAAUGCGUAGAUAUCAUUUGGAACGCCAAUGGUGAAAACAGGUAGCUGGGGCUGUGCUGACGCUGAGACACGAAAGCCAGGGGAGCAAACGGG